rnacentral:rRNA from 1 species
GAAACUGCCUGAUGGAGGGGGAUAACUACUGGAAACGGUAGCUAAUACCGCAUAACGUCGCAAGACCAAAGAGGGGACCUUCGGGCCUCUUGCCAUCAGAUGUGCCCAGAUGGGAUUAGCUAGUAGGUGGGGUAACGGCUCACCUAGGCGACGAUCCCUAGCUGGUCUGAGAGGAUGACCAGCCACACUGGAACUGAGACACGGUCCAG